UGUCCCAGAUCACUGGGUGGGGGCUUGAGCUGAUUCUAUGUUGUAUUGUUGAAAAGGAACUCCUAGAUAUUGAACCUGGCCCUGGUUACUGCCGGCUCCACCUGGCAGAGGGGUUACCUAUUAAUCAGGGGAACCACCCUAAAAUCCCUGGUACCAACAAUAGUUUAAAUACAGUUGUAGCUAAUAUCAUUCUAAUCACAGUUUUGGCACAGUCUAACCAUUCUAGGAAGAUGGUGUGUGUUGUGAAAACCUUAAAUGGCACCCAUUUUGUUCUGUCCAGCACUCUGAAAUUUCAUACAUCAGUCAUAAUGUGCUGCUGAUGGCGUACGCCACCUGGCAGGACUGGAGAGGAAGCACUAAAUUAACUUCAGUUAUUCCUCUCAGAUGGAACCCAGAAAAUUGUGAUGGGCCACCAUUCCUCUACACCAAGAACCCUAUCAUGGGGAAUCCUGCGGGGCUCAAUCCUGGUUCCUCUCUUUUUCAAUAUACAUAUGAGGCUUCUUGAAGAGGUUAUGAGAUGCCACGGGCUCCAGUGCAACCAAUAUACUGAUGACACCCAGUUUACAUCUCCUUUUCAGCAGGCACAAAUAACAGCAAUUCCCAGAUGCCAGAGUUCCUGCAAUAGAUAAUCAUCUGGAUGAAAAAGCUGCUGACUCAAAUUUAAUCCAGGCCUCAUGACUGUGAAGAAAACCUUAAAAACAGGAAACACAUGUAAACCAAUGGAGUGCUGUGUUCCUGACUCUGCAGACAGAUUGAGACAAUAGCUCUGGGAGAUGUGAACUGCCUUAUUUCUCUCAUGGAGCUGUGGUGAAGGGUGAUUUCUGCAGCGGCCUUUGAAGAACACUGACCAUACCUAUCAGAGACCCCUGCUCCUAAGGCCAGGAUCCUUAUAAGAGGGAACAGAGGGAAGAGUGCCCUGAGGUUUGACAGCAUUAACUGCAAUCCUGAACUCAGGGUUUCAUGUGUCCUCUGCAACAGUUCCAAAACCUCAAACAACAAAAUCAGAGCAUAAAAAGAGAUAUAAAAUCCUGAACUCCAGUAUUGACAAGUAAGUGAAAGAAAUGUUUUCAGAUUCUGGGUCUGGUUCUCUUCUUACAAAAGUGUAGCUCCAUUGGCCACAGUGAGACUUCUCAUGGAAUAAGGUAAUGCUCAAAAUAAGUAAGGAUGGCAGAAUCGGGGCCUUUGAAAGCAUAUAAAGGACCUCCACUCAGUUACGUCAAUGUAAGUCAGAAAUAACUCAAUGGAAAUCCAUGAAUUUCAAAUGAUGUAAAACUUGUUUAUUGUGCUCAAAGUGUGUUCUUUUCUUAGACCCAAGUGAGCCAUGUUCUCCCCAUUUAACCAUGAAACUUCAUGCCCUAAUAUCUUGCUUACAUCUGUGCAGACCUCCUCAAUCAGGUGUCACAGUUAUAAGUGGCAAGAUGAGGAGCUUUCAAGAGCUAAUUGAGCAGGAGAAGGAGGGGGAAAUUUUGUUUAAAAUUUUAUCUAGGUUAGCAGAGGCAUGAUACAACACACCCUUUGCAAUCAGCAGAGAACACUGAGACCUCUGUCUGUACUGUUUAUGGUAUCAAAUACGUGUGGUGUACACCCUGGAGCACUGCUCAGUCCUGAUAUCAUGGGUGCUCCCACCCUGUAAUUAGAUGUCCCUUGUUGCAAAGCUAGAUUAUUUUCUGGUUAUUGUAGUGUAGAAGUUUUUGGAAAGUAGGCGAUGGGCUAUAUUGUGCCUCGAAUACCCACAUGCAGCUGACACAAGGAACCAUAUCCUCAGCUGCUGUAAAUCCAUGAGCUCCAUUGAUGUCAACAGAACACUGACUAAGGAUCUGGCCCAAAGAAUCUGAUGAAGAUAUUCAGGUCUCCAACUCUUGACCCAAACAGGAUGUUCUGUGUAAACAGAUUGGUCAGAUGCAAAUUGCUGAAAGGAAAAAUCUUUACUGAUUCACACAACUCCUUUUUUGAAAGUAAACUGUCCACCUCUAUUAACUGAAAUGUGAACUGAAUGCUUAUGAAAGAUAGGCAAAUGUAUUUGUACACAGCACACACCUCACUCUAUUUGUCAUGCCUUUUUUUUUUUUUUGGACUGGUGAAGGUUUUUCCUCUUAACAGUGGACCUGACAGGGUUGAUUAUAUAAACACCUGUGUGUUUGAAUAGUAAAGAGCUAAGUUUGAGACCUGAAUGUCUAUUAGACUCCUAGGGUAAAAUUCAGAUACAACUGAAGUCAUUGGGAGUUUUACCAUUGACUUUAGUAGGGCCAGGAUUUCACUCUUUGUCAGCUUCAUGUGAGUAUUGAGGGCAUAAUAUGGCCAGUAGCCUUCAUUCGACAAAGCUCUACACUAGAAUAAUUGGGAACCAAUCUGGCUUUGCAAGAUGGACAUCUAAUUGCAGGGCAGGAGCAAUUGUGAUAUCAGGAUUAAGAAGCACUCCAGUAUGCAUAUUUCACUCCAGUAUGUUCACUCCACAUAUCUGAUAUUGUUU